rnacentral:rRNA from 1 species
GGCUCAGGAUGAACGCUAGCUACAGGCUUAACACAUGCAAGUCGAGGGGAAACGAUAUUGGAAGCUUGCUUCUGAUAGGCGUCGACCGGCGCACGGGUGAGUAACGCGUAUCCAACCUGCCCAUCACUUGGGGAUAACCUUGCGAAAGUAAGACUAAUACCCAAUGACGUCUCUAGAAGACAUCUGAAAGAGAUUAAAGAUUUAUCGGUGAUGGAUGGGGAUGCGUCUGAUUAGCUUGUUGGCGGGGUAACGGCCCACCAAGGCGACGAUCAGUAGGGGUUCUGAGAGGAAGGUCCCCCACAUUGGAACUGAGACACGGUCCAAACUCCUACGGGAGGCAGCAGUGAGGAAUAUUGGUCAAUGGACGAGAGUCUGAACCAGCCAAGUAGCGUGCAGGAUGACGGCCCUAUGGGUUGUAAACUGCUUUUAUAAGGGAAUAAAGUGGGAGUCGUGACUCUUUUUGCAUGUACCUUAUGAAUAAGGACCGGCUAAUUCCGUG